ACUGUGCUUCUGAUGACCCGGCCGCCGCCGCCGCCCUGCAACCGCUCCCCGGGACCCCUCAACGCUGACACUGAUGACCCGCGGCGGGGGCGCUGGGCGCGGGGUGCGCAGGCCACUGGCCGCGGGCUCUCGGGCCCGCUCCUGCCGCCGGCUUCUGCUGCUUCCGCGUGCCGUGGACACUGCCAGAAUUUGUCAAAGGUCCUAGGAAGAAAAGGCUCUUUCACCCCUCCCCUCAAUGAACAGAUGGCGUGUUUGGACUGUUCGCAUUCGCUCCUCAUAGGUGGGAUCCUGGAGGAAGUUAAGGGGUGCUCCGUUCCCUGGGGAUGGGACAGCAGCUCGCCUUUUUACUAAUAGCUAUAAGGGACUGUCAGACAUUUACCUGACUAGACCUUCACCUCAGAGCUCAGAAGGGGAACAGCUCCAGAACUAAAAGAGAGAGCCUCUGGCAGACCCCAAAAGACAGCAUGUGGAGUGAAGCUGGGCUUCCCUGCCCAAUCACUAGGAUCAUUUAUUGCACAAAUACCUGUAUUUUAAGCUGCAGAUUAUUGUGAAUUUUUGUAUUUUCUUCAUUUCCAUUUAGCUUUUUUUCAAUUUUAGAAUAGCCUUUCUCUAGAUAACUCGAGGAAGUGGGAGACGGAAUUUCCUUUGUUUCUGUCUUGAGCCCAAAGGGACAAUUGAGUGUCAGGUAUGACAGGGAUAAAGGG
rnacentral:lncRNA from 10 species